AUGCCUGGCUAAUUUUUGUAUUUUUACUAGAGACAAGGUUUCACCAUGUUGGCCAGGCUGGUCUCGAACUCCUGACCUCAAGUGAUCCGCCUGCCUCAGCCUCCCAAAGGCAUGAGCUGCUGCACCUGGCCAGCGCAUCCACCCUCUAGGUGGCCUUAAGCAUGUUGCUGGACUCUCUGAGCAAAACUUCCAUGUUCUAUGCAAUGCACAAAGUAAUAGAUGCCCAGAGUCAUCAUGAGAACAGAGUGAGAUCAUGCACACAAAAGUCUGCGCCCGGUGCAUGUGCCACUCGAUAAAUGGUAGCUAUCAGAUCCCAGCUUGGCCGUCCUCCAACUGUGUGACCCUGGGAAAAUUACUUCCCCUCUCUGAGCCUCAGUUCCCUCACCUAUAAAAUGGAGAGGAAAUCCACUCCUGUGGGAUUGUUUUGGUGUAUAAAGUGCUACUGGGGCCGCAUGCGGUGGCUCAUGCCUGUAAUCCCAGCACUUUGGGAGGCCCAGGUGGGUGGAUCACCUGAGGUCAGGAGUUCGAGACCAGCCUGGCCAACACGGUGAAACCCCCGUCUCUACUAAAAAUACAAU
rnacentral:lncRNA from 1 species